CAGUCGCCACGGUAAUACAGAGGGUGCGAGCGUUAAUCGGAUUUACUGGGCGUAAAGCGUGCGUAGGCGGCUUCUUAAGUCGGAUGUGAAAUCCAUGAGCUUAACUUAGGAAUUGCAUUCGAUACUGGGAAGCUAGAGUAUGGGAGAGGAUGGUAGAAUUCCAGGUGUAGCGGUGAAAUGCGUAGAGAUCUGGAGGAAUACCGAUGGCGAAGGCAGCCAUCUGGCCUAAUACUGACGCUGAGGUACGAAAGCAUGGGGAGCAAACAGGAUUAGAUACCCCUGUAGUCCCUGUCUCUUAUAC
rnacentral:rRNA from 1 species